CAGGAGCCAGAAGGAUGUACCAGGAAGAAUGCUGGAUCAGAGGACCUGGGUUCGAAUCCUAAGUCUGCCACUCACCACUUUGGGUCUAAAUCAGUGCAAUCCCAUCAUCUCUGCCUCACCUAGUGGGACAAUCAUGGCAAUAGGGGGUGAGGAAUGGGGACAGAAGUGGCCGGGAGCCUGGCAAGUCUUCUUGGAGAGAAUCUACUACUGGGAGGGAGCACAAAUGUGGACGGACUUUGAAAGAGUUAGUACCAGAUUAGGAAAAUUUGGCUUGCUAGGCCUUCUCUCCUAAGCUGCAGAUUGGCUCUCUUCUAACACAGAAAACCAGCUGUGAGUAAGAGAAGAGAGCCUGGGCAGGAGCAGGAGAGGAGAUGCUGCUUGGGGAUCCCUCCAGCCACCUCCAAAUGGACCAUUGACAAGGGCCUGCUCUCAGGCUUCCUGGGAAUUCCUCCCCCAGGUCUUUCUCAUCCUGAAUUCCAGCAUCCCAUUAAACACCCUCCUGAGUGACCUUGGACAAGUCCCUUAACUUUGGA